CUAAAGAGAAUGCUGCUCUAAGUUUCAAGUCGACUCGCCCUCGCCCUCGCCCUUGCAGAACGCAAUAGAGCGUCGUCGCUGUCGCAGCAGACGCCAUCGCCGUCGCAGCAGACGCCGUCGCUAUCACAGUAGAACUCCGUCACCGUUUCAAGUCGACGCAACCAUCGCCCUCGCCCUCGCAGAACGCAACAGAGCGCCGCCACACCAGACACCGUCGCCGUCGCCGUCUAUGACUGCCUCCUCCAUCUGUGACAGGAAAUGAGUAUUUGGAUGUCUGCUGUGAAAAGGAAGGGAUCAAUGAAGAGAGCCAGAGAAUAUGUAGUUGAAAGCAUUCAUUUUUGUGGUCCCUAUUUGUUUAUUGGUAUUUUUUUAAAGAUAAUAGCAAU